GAUGAACGCUGGCGGCGUGCCUAACACAUGCAAGUCGAGCGAUUCUCUUCGGAGGAGAGCGGCGGACGGGUGAGUAACGCGUGGGUAACCUGCCCUGUACACACGGAUAACAUACCGAAAGGUAUGCUAAUACGGGAUAACAUAAGAAAUUCGCAUGUUUUUCUUAUCAAAGCUCCGGCGGUACAGGAUGGACCCGCGUCUGAUUAGCUAGUUGGUGAGGUAACGGCUCACCAAGGCGACGAUCAGUAGCCGACCUGAGAGGGUGAUCGGCCACAUUGGAACUGAGACACGGUCCAAACUCCUACGGGAGGCAGCAGUGGGGAAUAUUGCGCAAUGGGCGAAAGCCUGAUGCAGCAACGCCGUGUGAGCGAUGAAGGCCUUCGGGUCGUAAAGCUCUGUCCUCAAGGAAGAUAAUGACGGUACUUGAGGAGGAAGCCCCGGCUAACUACGUGCCAGCAGCCGCCGCGG
rnacentral:rRNA from 1 species